GACGAACGCUGGCGGCGUGCUUAACACAUGCAAGUCGAACGGAAAGGCCCUGCUUUUGUGGGGUGCUCGAGUGGCGAACGGGUGAGUAACACGUGAGUAACCUGCCCUUGACUUUGGGAUAACUUCAGGAAACUGGGGCUAAUACCGGAUAGGAGCUCCUGCUGCAUGGUGGGGGUUGGAAAGUUUCGGCGGUUGGGGAUGGACUCGCGGCUUAUCAGCUUGUUGGUGGGGUAGUGGCUUACCAAGGCUUUGACGGGUAGCCGGCCUGAGAGGGUGACCGGCCACAUGGGACUGAGAUAAGGGCCCGGCUCCUAACGGGGGGAGGCGUGGGGAAUAUUGCACAAUGGGCGGAAGCCUGAUGCAGCAACGCCGCGUGCGGGAUGACGGCCUUCGGGUUGUAAACCGCUUUCGCCUGUGACGAAGCGUGAGUGACGGUAAUGGGUAAAGAAGCACCGGCUAACUACGUG
rnacentral:rRNA from 1 species